CGCUGAGCGCCAAACGGCUGCAGCAUCAGACACACAGGUGAUGACGGUGUUCGUGGAAUCCCUCUGUAGUAGUUCACAUAUACUACGGUCAUGUUGGCCAUAGAUUAAGAGCCGUUUGACGGAAUAACUUUCGCGGAGAAACUCGAGGUGAAAGAGGUGGACCGGGAUCAGCCGGACCUCACGAUCAGACAACGGACCGGUGUGAAAGGGAAGCCGAGGUUUCUACGCCGGGAGGUUUAGCUAGUUAGCUACGUGCUAACCGCCGGUCCGCAUGACGUCACCGCGCUAAAGUUAACAUCGCUGCCCAGCUGCGACGCACACAGGACCGCGGACCUCUGACCUAUGGAGUGCAAAAAGGUCAACGCCAAGUCAAGGUGCAUGUGGAUCACCUUCGGGCAUCUAAAGCUUCAACACGUCCAAGCAGAAUGGAUGACAGUGAUUUCCUGGACUGCACAGCAAGCUCUGAGGACCAAGCAGAAAGCACGGAGGAAGAAGAUGCAGCUGCUAGUGCAUCUCCGGAAGCUCAACCGGAGCGCCGCUAUCCUGAAAGACAGCCAACAGCACCAGAAAGACUGAAUCUCUAAAUGUUCAUGUAGAGAUAAUGACUUAUUUAGUCAGUAAUUAUGUUCAGACUGCUUACUGUUAUGAUUAUGAAGUUUAGGGUAUGUUACUGUUAAUUGAACCCUGCAUAUGUAGUUUAAGGAAUGACUAAUGCAAUGAAGUAUGUAGUCUGGCUAUGUAUGUUAUAAUCUAGGAGGGAGGAGUGUAGUAGUUCACAUAUACUACGGUAAUGUUGGCCAUAGUAUUAAGGUAAUUACGGUAAUUAUCUUCUCCCUGUACGUGCGCCCUUCCUUCACCUACAAAUAUUACAAAACUGUUUAUUUAACUGCAAAGUAAUGAUGUGUAUUUGAUACCCUUUUUUGCGUUGAAUCAUACAGGGAUGUUUACUGAAACUGAUUGGCUGGCAA
ensembl:lncRNA